GGAGCUGGCCACGGCCCGGGCCCCAUCCUAGCAGCUUCCAGCCACCCUCUGGGGACGCGAGGUCCACCUGCAACUGCCUUUCUCAUGCAUGUCUUCAGAAACGGGGCCCGAGCCCUGACCUCGGGCACUGGCUCUUGGGAGGCCGAAUCACCAGGGACCCAUCCAGGAAGCUGCCCAGCUGCUGCCCAGGCACACAGGCCUGGCUUCCCUGGAAAUCUCGGGCCCUGGCCACCUACAGCCGGGUCAACUGGGCUCAUGUUCAGCUGGGGCCCAAGGUGGGAUCUGGGGCCUGUCCUGCCUUGGCUGCAGCUAAAGAUGUGAUGGGGGCCAAUUCCCCUUCUGGCAGGCCCCCAGGAUGUACACCCAUGAGGGCAGGUCCUGAUGGUGGUUCCUGGGCCCCAGGGCCGAGGUAGUAGUGGCGCCAGGGGCCUUGGACAAAAGGCAGGAUGGCUGAAGAAUCAGUGAGGGACAGUGGUGGGAGGAAUGGGAGGCAAACGCUGAAGGGGUGGGCAUCAGCUGCAGGAAUAUGACCUUCUGGCCCCCUUCACCCCUCAUCUCCACCCCUGCCUCCUCCAAUCGACCCAGUGGGUGGCCGAGCACCAUGUAUGCGGGUGUGUGUGUCCUUGAGUUUGUGAACUUAUGUGUGUUUCUGAGUGUGAAUGGUGUGUAAAGAUGAGUUUGUGAGUGUGUGUGUGUAUUUGUCUAUAUCUGGGCAAGUCUGUGUGAGUGUGUGUGUUUUGGGGGUGUGUGUCUGUGUCUCUGUAUCUAUGUAUCUGUGCGCAUGUGUCUGGCGUGUGCGUGUGUGUCUGGUCGUGUGACUGACCCUCAGACUCCCACCCUUGCUCCCCCAUGCCUCUCCACCCAAGCCCAGCAGAACUUGGGGGCCCCUCGGCCCAGGUGGUCUCAGGGAAGGGUGGGGGCGCGGAGUCUGGACACCCUGUGGCCCCAUCUCAUCCAGACGUCACCAGGAAGCUGCCUUCAUCGUCAACACCGCUGUUUCCCGCGGACCCGGGACCGAAUGCUUUGCUAAAGCUGGUAAAAUGGAACCAAAUCAACUGUUCGAUGGAUUUGGUCCCCUUCAACCAGCUGUAGCUGCGCAUUGAUGGCGCCUCGGCCCGGCGGGAGGACACACGGCCACAUGGAGGCCACUCAGGCCAGCUCUGCCAGGGGACCCAGACGGCCCUCCUCGAGGUGGGUUCCUCGGAGACACCCUCCCCUUGCAAGCAACGAGGCAGCAGAACUUGGCUGCCCCGCCCCCACUGCCCUCUCCAGUUUACCAUGAAAAUAAAUGUCUGCUUUCACACCGUAGCAUCACUGAGAGUGUGUGUCCAGGAGCCGGUGCCACGUGGGGUCUGGCCCCACGUCAUGCCCUCUCGGCCUUGCUCUGCCUUCCCCUUCAGAGCUACCUCGGUCCAGGAGGCCAUCGAGGGCUGCAUACUGGUUUCCUUGGGGGUGCUGAGGGUGGUGAUUGGGGGCAGGCCCACUGAAUCCCUGCCCCCACAUAUCCUGGGCCACCCUGGGUUCUGGGAUAGCUGGCUGCUGGAUCAGUCGGCUCCUGACAGAGCCCAUCCCAGAAACCACCCCUGCACUGAGGAGCCCCACUCCUGCCUUCUACCUGCUGAAGCAGCUCUCAGUUUGGUGUGGAGUCCUGCACCCGCUGAGGACUCGGGCGCCCACCCCUCGACCUCAGGAAGGGAAAACUCUGGGCUUGGAGCCUGCCAACCCCGCCCCCCGCCACAAGCUGGCUGUUGCCCCAGAAGCUGAUCUAUUAGCUUUCAAUGGAUUGGAUCCACUUCAUGUCUAUCUCCCGUGGGGGUUAGAGCUGCCAGAGCCCAGGAAAGGAGCACCCGCCCUCGGGAGGGGGGCUUCUCUGCAGAUGCUGAGCCCAGACCAGGGGCCAGUUUGCUGGCUGGGCUCCCAUUCCAUGUGCCUGGCCAGGAUGGUCCUCCAGGUGAGGGCGGAGGUGCCUCCGGGGCCCUGCCCAGGAGUUGGGGAUGUGCGGGCCCAGCACCGCACCUUCCAGGUUCUGGGAGAACCUGUGAUCCAGGAGCUUUGGAGGCUCUUGAAGAAGAAAGUGACACAUUGGAGCCUGGACACAUCUUCACCGCUGCCCCCUACAAAGGCUUAGCUGGGAUGAGUGGACUUCUCUUUCAUCCUGAAUCUCCAGUUCAUAGAGGGGACACUGCUCCCCCAACUCCUGACUCUGUUUCUCCCACGUGGUGACCCUCGGCUCCAGCGGAUGGACCUCUGUGUUGGGUAGAGGUUUGGGUCUCAGUAGCUGAGGGCCUAUAGUUUUUGGACGGAAGCUUGGUCCUCACUUUUGUUCUGGACAUUUCUUUCUUACCAGGUAGCCCUGAAAUGCCCCUCACAUUAUAGUAAAGAAAAGGAAAUUCUUGUUUGAAAGAGAUUCAUCUUUCUCUCUUUCCUUGACGACAUGGAUGCUCCCCAGUAACCAGCCCCAGAUGGUGGAGGAUGAGAGGGGAUGAUGGUGGGAAAGGUAGCCGGCCCUUCCUAUGAGGACGGGUGGGGUCGGGGUGCUUUGCUGAGGGUCCACAGGCUGGAAAGCCCCUUCCUGUCUUUUAAACAGCCUCUGCAGAAGGAGCCUGCUUCCAGGUUUGCCUGUCAGAAGUGGGGGCUCAGCCUGCUUUGUCAUCUCCCUCUGCCUGCCAGUUUUGGGGAAGCCCUCUCACUUUCAAAUAAACACGACAGUCGGGCCAAGUGUCA